ACAGAGACUGCAAGCGUUAUUCGGAUUCACUGGGCGUAAAGGGUGCGCAGGCGGCCGUAUGUGUGAGGCGUGAAAGCCCGGGGCUUAACCCCGGAAUUGCACCUCAAACUAUACGGCUAGAGCAUUGGAGAGGGUAGCAGAAUUCAUGGUGUAGCAGUGAAAUGCGUAGAUAUCAUGAGGAAUACCAGAGGCGAAGGCGGCUACCUGGACAAUUGCUGACGCUCAGGCACGAAAGCGUGGGGAGCGAACAGGA
rnacentral:rRNA from 1 species